rnacentral:rRNA from 1 species
ACGCUGGCGGCAGGCCUAACACAUGCAAGUCGAGCGGAAACGACACUAACAAUCCUUCGGGUGCGUUAAUGGGCGUCGAGCGGCGGACGGGUGAGUAAUGCCUAGGAAAUUGCCUUGAUGUGGGGGAUAACCAUUGGAAACGAUGGCUAAUACCGCAUAAUGCCUACGGGCCAAAGAGGGGGACCUUCGGGCCUCUCGCGUCAAGAUAUGCCUAGGUGGGAUUAGCUAGUUGGUGAGGUAAUGGCUCACCAAGGCGACGAUCCCUAGCUGGUCUGAGAGGAUGAUCAGCCACACUGGAACUGAGACACGGUCCAGACUCCUACGGGAGGCAGCAGUGGGGAAUAUUGCACAAUGGGCGCAAGCCUGAUGCAGCCAUGCCGCGUGUAUGAAGAAGGCCUUCGGGUUGUAAAGUACUUUCAGUUGUGAGGAAGGGGGUAGYGUUAAUAGCGCUAUCUCUUGACGUUAGCAACAGAAGAAGCACCGGCUAACUCCGUGCCAGCAGCCGCGGUAAUACGGAGGGUGCGAGCGUUAAUCGGAAUUACUGGGCGUAAAGCGCAUGCAGGUGGUUCAUUAAGUCAGAUGUGAAAGCCCGGGGCUCAACCUCGGAACUGCAUUUGAAACUGGUGAACUAGAGUACUGUAGAGGGGGGUAGAAUUUCAGGUGUAGCGGUGAAAUGCGUAGAGAUCUGAAGGAAUACCAGUGGCGAAGGCGGCCCCCUGGACA